rnacentral:rRNA from 1 species
AUACGUAGGGGGCGAGCGUUGUCCGGAUUUAUUGGGCGUAAAGGGUGCGUAGGCGGCCUUGUAAGUCAGAUGUGAAAGAUCAUGGCUUAACUGUGGUAAGCAUUUGAAACUGCAGGGCUUGAGUACAGGAGAGGAGAGUGGAAUUCCUAGUGUAGCGGUGAAAUGCGUAGAUAUUAGGAGGAAUACCAGUGGCGAAGGCGACUCGCUGGACUGAUACUGACGCUGAGGCACGAAAGCGUGGGGAGCAAACAGGAUUAGAUACCCUGGUAGUCCACGCUAUAAACGAUGAGUGCUAGGUGUCGGGGGUCAAACCUCGGUGCCGCAGUUAACACAAUAAGUGCUCCGCCUGGGGAGUACGGUCGCAAGACUGAAACUUAAAUGAAUUGGCGGGG